UACGUAGGGGGCUAGCGUUGUCCGGAUUUAUUGGGCGUAAAGAGCGUGUAGGCGGCCAGGUAGGUCUGGUGUGAAAACUCGAGGCUUAACCUCGAGAUGUCAUCGGAAACCAUCUGGCUAGAGUCCGGAAGAGGAGAGUGGAAUUCCUGGUGUAGCGGUGAAAUGCGCAGAUAUCAGGAAGAACACCAAUGGCGAAAGCAGCUCUCUGGGACGGUACUGACGCUGAGACGCGAAAGCGUGGGUAGCGAACAGG
rnacentral:rRNA from 1 species